rnacentral:rRNA from 1 species
UCAUAUGCUUGUCUCAAAGAUUAAGCCAUGCAUGUGUAAGUACAAGCCCAUGAAAGGUGAAACCGCGAAUGGCUCAUUAAAUCAGCUAUGAUUCCUUGGAUCUGUACACCCAGUUACUUGGAUAACUGUGGUAAUUCUAGAGCUAAUACAUGCACACAGUCCCUGACCGCAAGGAAAGGGCGCUUUUAUUAGUUCAAAACCGGUCUUCAGGCUACGGUCUGUAACCAACCUUGAUGAAUCUGGAUAACUCUGCUGAGCGCACGGCCCCUGUGCCUGCGCCACAUCUUUCAAGUGUCUGCCUUAUCAGCUCGAUUGUAGGUUAUGUGCCUACAAUGGCUAUAACGGGUAACGGGGAAUCAGGGUUCGAUUCCGGAGAGGGAGCCUGAGAAACGGCUACCACAUCUAAGGAAGGCAGCAGGCACGCAAAUUACCCACUCCCGGCACGGGGAGGUAGUGACGAAAAAUAAUGAUGUGAGACUCAUCCGAGGCCUCGCAAUCAGAAUGAGUACACUUUAAAUCCUUAUGCGAGGACCAAUUGGAGGGCAAGUCUGGUGCCAGCAGCCGCGGUAAUUCCAGCUCCAAUAGCAUAUAUUAAUGUUGUUGUGGUUAAAAAGCUCAUAGUUGGACUGCAGUACAGAAUGACGGAUGAUUGUGCCGCAAGGCUCCUUCCGUCAUCCCCUGACAAGCCUGAGAUAUGGCUCCGCCGGACCUCACGGGGUGCUCUUGACCGAGUGCCCCAAAGAGUGGCUGGCAUGUUUACUUUGAAAAAAUUAGAGUGCUCAAAGCAGGCAAUAUAAAUUGGCCUGAAUGCUUAUGCAUGGAAUAAUGGAAUAGGACCUCGGUUCUAUUUUGUCGGUUUUCUGCGGAAUCCGAGGUAAUGAUUAAGAGGAACAGUUGGGGGCAUACGUAUUGAGAGGCUAGAGGUGAAAUUCUUGGACCCUCUCAAGACGACCUAAAGCGAAAGCAUUUGCCAAGGAUGUUUUCAUUAAUCAAGAACGAAAGUUAGAGGAUCGAAGGCGAUCAGAUACCGCCCUAGUUCUAACCGUAAACUAUGCUAACCAGCAAUCUGCCGGUGUUAUACCCAUGACCCGGCAGGCAGCUUCCGGGAAACCAAAGUCUUUGAGUUCCAGGGGAAGUAUGGUUGCAAAGCUGAAACUUAAAGGAAUUGACGGAAGGGCACCACCAGGAGUGGAGCCUGCGGCUUAAUUUGACUCAACACGGGAAACCUCACCAGGCCCAGACACUGGAAGGAUUGACAGAUUGAGAGCUCUUUCUCGAUUCAGUGGGUGGUGGUGCAUGGCCGUUCUUAGUUGGUGGAGUGAUUUGUCUGGUUAAUUCCGAUAACGAACGAGACUCUGGCCUACUAAAUAGUCGACGGAUUUCCAUUAUCACAUGGUGUCCAGUCGCAAUAUAGUCUUCUUAGAGGGACAAGUGGCAAACAUAGCCACGUGAGAUUGAGCAAUAACAGGUCUGUGAUGCCCUUAGAUGUUCUGGGCCGCACGCGCGCUACACUGAAAGGAUCAGAGUGUUUUCCCGCUCCGAGAGGAGUUUGGGUAACCCUGACAAAUCCUUUCUUGAUUGGGAUUGGGGCUUGCAAUUGUCUCCCAUGAACGAGGAAUUCCCAGUAAGCGCAAGUCAUGAGCUUGCGUUGAUUACGUCCCUGCCCUUUGUACACACCGCCCGUCGCUACUACCGAUUGAAUGAUUUAGUGAGGCCUUCGGACUGGCACCCUUGGAUCCAAUGCUGCUGUCACGCCCUAAUUGCGGGGUUCCCUGGCAGCCGUACCUCGGGUUGACGGAAAGAUGUCCAAACUUGAUCAUUUAGAGGAA